rnacentral:rRNA from 1 species
UACGGGGGGGGCAAGCGUUGUUCGGAAUUACUGGGCGUAAAGGGCCAGUAGGCGGCCAACUAAGUCCGACGUGAAAUCCCAAGGCUUAACCUUGGAACUGCGUCGGAUACUGGAUGGCUUGAAUUCGGGAGAGGGAUGCAGAAUUCCAGGUGUAGCGGUGAAAUGCGUAGAUAUCUGGAGGAACACCGGUGGCGAAGGCGGCAUCCUGGACCGACACUGACGCUGAGGAGCGAAAGCCAGGGGAGCAAACGGG